rnacentral:rRNA from 1 species
UACGGAGGGUGCAAGCGUUAUCCGGAUUCACUGGGUUUAAAGGGUGCGUAGGUGGGUAGGUAAGUCAGUGGUGAAAUCUUCGAGCUUAACUCGGAAACUGCCAUUGAUACUAUUUAUCUUGAAUACUCUGGAGGUAAGCGGAAUAUGUCAUGUAGCGGUGAAAUGCUUAGAUAUGACAUAGAACACCAAUUGCGAAGGCAGCUUACUACAUAGUUAUUGACACUGAGGCACGAAAGCGUGGGGAGCAAAACGG